GUCUACAGCCAUACCACCCUGAACACGCCUGGUCUUGUCAGAUCAUGGAAGCUUAGCAAGGUCAGGCCUGGUUAGUACUUUGAUGGGAAGAUAUAAUAACAGGAACAUAUGCCUGCUCUUUAUC
ensembl:rRNA 5S_rRNA 5S ribosomal RNA